AUCCACACACUGACACACCCUAAACUGGAGUGUAUUGGGCAGACACCAGGCCAGAGCACCCUCAUCCCUAUCCUCCAGACGGAAUCCUCCCCAGUGACGCCAUGUCGUCUUCGUCGUCGUCGUUCAAGCCCAACCCGCUGUCGCUGAGUGUGCCGGACCCUGCUCUCGACCGCUGGCUCCGCGACUCCGGCUACCUCGACAUCCUCGACUCCUCAGCCUCAGCCUCCGCCUCCGCCUCCACCUCCUCCUCCCCCUCCGCAACGACCACCACCGCCGCCGCCUCAUCCACAUCCACUCUCAUCAACCCCACCUCCGCCGCCGCCGCCGUCCUCGCCUUCGCCCGUACCCUCGCCUCGGUCCUCGCGCUCAACCCCUUCGCUCGGCUGUCUACUACCGACCUCGCCGCGCCCACUCCCUCUUGGUCCCUCGCCUUCCUCGGUCCGCCCGGAGCCGCGUCCUACUCCUGGCCCCCGACCUCGACCCAGGCCCGACUCCGCGUCCAGGAGAACGUCCGCCGCUACGCCCGCAAUUACGCCGCGCUCUCCAUCCUUGUCUUCGCUUGCUGCCUGUAUCAUAUGCAUUGCCACCUUCCUAGUUCGUUAAUUGUUGCGCUUAUUGCUUUUAUCUGUUCCCAGUCUCUGCGUCUGAGAAAUAUUUCUGCUACUGCUGGUGUGUCCAGGUACCGGAUGCCAAUGGCGCUGUUGGGAAUGUUAGCCAUCCUCAUCGUGUGGGAGAGUGUGAGGUACUGCCGGGAGCGUUGGGGACUCGCCACCCGGGCGCCCGGGGUUGGGCAGUUUCUCCUUCAUUCUGCACAGAUUGGACUUCUAAUUGUGCACAACGCAAUCUUUAAUGACCAUGCCUGCAAAGAUGUGGCGCCACUGAAAUAGCACUCAGGUGGAUGUAGUUUGGUUUUGCGCUCUGGCCAGAUUUGUGCUUGACACCAGAAUUGUCUAGUUCAGUUUGGUGGUUUCGUACUGGGUUCUCCAUCAUUAUCUAACUCGUUUUAUCGUAACCAGCUACUGCUGUGCUGGUUUAUGUGUGCAGUCUGCAGUUUGCUCUUGUAUAUGCCAUUGGGUUGAGUUAUGCAGUGAUGAUGUUGCAUGCUUCUUUUCGAAAAUUGACUCCUUCAAGUCUACCUGAUCCUGGGAACAGAAACAGGAGGUUGCAACCAAAACGAAGCUAAUUGAUUCAUCAGAGAAAAAUAAUAAAAAGAAAGCCAUAAUUCAUGACAGACUGCAGAUGCACCAGACAGGUAUAAGUUAUAACAGCCCACAUGGUGCGAAUGCAAAGUAGUCACCUAUAUCAGCACUGGUUAGUGGGUACUGUUGGAGGCUCGAGACUGCAUUUUGGACUCGUUCAAGAGUUAGUCGUGGUCGAAGUUUGUUGACGAAACGGAAUAUGACGGUAGCGUCAUUUUGAUCCAAUUUGAUCUGAUCUAAUGGCAUGAGAGCAAAUGGUUAAUUUUUAUAGGUGUUCAACUAGAAUAUACCUUCGUGGCAAAUAUUAGCUGAGCUCUCCUAAAAGUGCGGCAAACGAACAGAGUCUUGUCGUGCUUGGUUUUCAUUUUUCAUUGUGGCUUGUGUUUUGUUUUAUGGUUGAUACAAUGAUACUUUACUUUUAUGGUUGAUUGUGUAUAUACAUAUUAAUUAAGCUACGUACCCUCCCGCCGUUUCAAGUUA